GGCCGCAGUAACUGACUGUGCUAAGGUAGCAAAAUAAUUAGCCUUUUAAUUGAAAGCUUGUAUAAAAGAUUUGACAAAGAAAGCACUGUCUUAAUAAAACCAAUAUAACUUUAUUUUAAAGUAAAAAAGCUUUAUAAUUUUAAUAGGACGAUAAGACCCUAAAAUCUAUUAACUAAUAUUAAUAUGCUGUUUAGGCGUCUACUCUUAUUAUAACUAGUGAGUAAAAUAAUAAAAGUUAAUUUACUGGGGCGGUAAUUAUAACAUAAACUAUAAUAUUAAUAACAUUUUGAAUGGCUUUAUUUAACCUUCUUGAAUAUAAUAAGAUACUUUAGGGAUAACAGCAUAAUAUAUUUUAAGAGUUCUUAUCACCAAAUAUGUUUAUGACCUCGAUGUUGAAUUGAGAUUUCUAUUUCUAGAAGAUUAGAUAAUAGAUAGUCUGUUCGACUUUUAAUUUCUCACAUGAUUUGAGUUCAAACCGGC
rnacentral:rRNA from 1 species